GGACCAAAAGCUGGAGUGUAGAAUGUCUUAAAUUUCCCAUAGCUUGAAGGUGUUUUCAGAGCAUAUGACUUAUAACCUAUAACUGAACCUAUUUAAUAUGACUUGUAUCUUCUAUCUAUAUCCUGCACUUGCUGCUAUUGCACUCCUGCUAAGCUCUGAUCUGCAUUUCGUCUCCUUGUACAUGUGUGAUCACACUAAAGUCGAAUGCAAUCUAAUCUAAUAUGCAGAUUUAUUUCCAGUAGUUGUGAGUGUGUAGUUGGUGAUCUUGUGGGAAUCUGGAGCGUCCCGCGUCCCCACGUUCAUGCAGAUGAAUAUGAGUGACCUUACUGGCAGAUGGCAGAGAGCAGAACAUCCCACCGUCCGCUCAUCAACACACUAUUGUCCACACACGCCGAGGCCUCUGAUUGGCUGAGAGCACAGAGAUACGGGUAUAAAAGGAGGCUGAAGAUGAUGGAAAUCCACUUGAAGAUCAGACUUCAGCAGAAUCAGCAUCAGUCAUGGCCACAUACAUGGACGUGUCUUUCCAGAGCAGCUUCAAGACUCAACAUGUUCAACACGCAAGAUGCGUUCUCACGUGUUUGGAGAGAAAGUGUGGCAGCAGCUUGGAGAAGCUCAGAUGUGCUGUCGCAGAGUAUCUUCAGGCCUCAGAUCUGCUGGAGAGAGCCGUGUCUUUCCUCACGCUCAGAAGAGUCUUACUGUCUCAUGACGGAUACUCCAAAUAUUCCAGAGAAAUCCUGCGGCUGUUUCCCGACCAUACAGAGGACGUAGCAGCGUUACUGUCUGAAGAAUGAACACCGGAUACUGAAACACAAGACUUUAAAAAAAUCCGCAAUGCCUUAUCUGUGAUCUUCAUUAUGUUCACCUUUAUUGCUCGUAGGAAUAUUUGUAUAUCUUUGUUUUAACAAAUGCACAUUUUUAUGCAUCAUAUGCAUUAUUUUUGGCAGUUAUACACUGCAAUAUAUUUAAUUUCUUAAUAAUUGGUACUUUAUGCUGUUUUCAUUGAAAAAGCAUGAGGCGAUGUUUAAACCGAAGCUCCUUUGAUGGGAGUAAAUGUUAUUUUAUAUAAGCAUUGUGAUCAAACAUUGUUCUAAAUAUGAACAACUGUGUCCAAUAGAGGAAAUAAAAAUAUUUCACCAUAA